rnacentral:rRNA from 1 species
AGCGAACGCUGGCGGCAGGCUUAACACAUGCAAGUCGAGCGGACCUUUCGGGGUCAGCGGCGGACGGGUGAGUAACGCGUGGGAACGUGCCUUCCGGUUCGGAAUAACCCUGGGAAACUAGGGCUAAUACCGGAUACGCUCUUACGGGGAAAGGUGUACUGCCGGAAGAUCGGCCCGCGUCUGAUUAGCCAGUUGGUGGGGUAACGGCCUAUCAACGCGACGAUCAGUAGCUGGUCUGAGAGGAUGACCAGCCACACUGGGACUGAGACACGGACCAGACUCGGACGGGAGGGAGCAGUGGGGAAUAUUGGGCAAUGGGCGCAAGCCUGAUCCAGCCGUGCCGCGGGAGUGAUGAAGGCCUUAGGGUUGUAAAGCUCCUUUAUCCGGGACGAUAAUGACGGUACCGGAGGAAUAAGCCCCGGCUAACUUCGUG